AGGGAAGAGAAAGAAGGAGAGGAAGAAGGAGAAGAAGAGGGAAGAGAAAGAGGAAGAGGGAGAGGGUUUGCUUUCACCGCCGCCGCCGCCGCAUCUCCUCCCUCACCGGCGACGAAGAAGAGGAGGAGGAAAAGGGAGAAGAAGAGGGAAGAGGAAGAGGGUUCGUCGCCGCCGCAUCUUCUCCCUCGCCGGUGAUGAAGAAAAGGAAAGAGGAAGAAGGAGAGGAAGAAGAAGGGGGAAGAGGAAAAAUGAGAGGAAGAGAGAAGAGGAAGAGGAAGAGGAAGAGGGAGAGGGAGAGGGCCGCCGCCAAUGCCGCCGUCGCCGUCGCCAUCGCCGCCGCCGUCGCCGUCGAAGAAGAUGGAAGAGGAAGAAGGGUAAAACCGUCAAUUUACGUUAUUAAUUAACCAUGGUUAAGUUUUUAACUGUGGUUAAUGAAAUUUUUUUAACAGACCUUAACGGUAGGGANGGGAGGCGGCGGCGGCGGCGGAGCUUCGCCGUCGUCGGAGGUGGCGCCGCCGGCGAGGUGGUCGUCGACGUCGUCGUAGAAGGCGCCGACGUAGCCGUCCCCGAAGUAGACCCUCUUCCGCACCCUGUUCCCGCCCACGUGCGAGAUCACGCACGUGUAGCUCUCCGAGAGCUCCAUCUCCUCCCUCGUCCUCGCCCUCUUCGCAGCCCCCGCCGCCGCCGCCGCCGCCGCUGCCGCGCGGCCGAUCGGGAUCGGCUCCGC
rnacentral:lncRNA from 1 species